AUGCCAGAAAACUUUCCACAUUGUGAACUACACAGGACAGAGAGAAUCACUGGAGACCUUAGUGAUUGUGGGUACAGAGCUUGGCACGCAGUGGCUCUGACUUCAUUCCAGUCACCCGUCCUGUGGCACAGGGAUUGUCCCUGGGCAGGGUCUGUCCUCCUCAAGGCCUGGAGCAGCCCAGCAUCUGAAGCCUGCUAAGGAGAGGAAGUGGGGCUACUGGAAGUGCCAGAGGAUAAAAUGCCCUUGGGGAACAGCAGAGGACACAGAAGCACCUCCCUCUUUCCCUGUACCUUGCCCUGCAUGACAGGAGAUGGGUCUGCUUUUAGUGAGGGGUCUCCCUGCCCCGAGGGCUACUUUCUAUUUCCUUGUCAUCACCUGCCUCUCUGAUUUGCUGACAUCUACAUCUUUCCCUAGCGGACCUGGCUUCUAAGUCACCUGGGUUCUUCAGUUAUGUGGAGUGCUGACCACAUACAUUGGGGUGGCAGGACUGGGGGACACUAUGAGAUUUAGACGGGAU
rnacentral:lncRNA from 1 species